AAAGAGGGACUGUUACAGUGAAGAAAUCACUUGUAAGUAGGGAAUGUACUAUUUAAAAUACAUGCAUCUCUUUGGCAAGUGGUCAGGAAUGGUGGCUACUUAAAUGAGUUAAAAUG